UACGUAGGGGGCGAGCGUUGUCCGGCUUCACUGGGUGUAAAGGGUGCGCAGGCGGGCUCUUAAGUCAAAGGUGAAAGCUCCCGGCUUAACCGAGAAAUUGCCUUUGAUACUGAGAGUCUUGAGUAGGUGAGAGGGAGAUGGAAUUCCAGGUGUAGCGGUGAAAUGCGUAGAUAUCUGGAGGAACACCAGAGGCGAAGGCGGUCUCCUGGCCCGUUACUGACGCUCAGGCACGAAAGCGUGGGGAGCAAACAGG
rnacentral:rRNA from 1 species